GAUAAACGUUUGCGGCGUGCCUGAUGCAUGCAAGUCGAACGCCCUGAUUUUUCGCAAGAUUGAUCAGGGAGUGGCGAACGGCUGAGUAACGCGUAAGUAACCUAUCCCUAAGUGGGGGAUAACUUGCCGAAAGGCAGGCUAAUACCGCAUAUUCUGGUAAGCGUUUAGCUUAUCAGCAAAGCUUUUGCGCUUGGGGAGGGGCUUGCGUCUGAUUAGAUAGUUGGUAGGGUAAUGGCCUACCAAGUCAGUGAUCAGUAGCUGGUCUGAGAGGACAACCAGCCAGACGGGGACUGAGAUACGGCCCUGACUCCUACGGGAGGCUG
rnacentral:rRNA from 1 species